GACGAACGCUGGCGGCGUGCUUAACACAUGCAAGUCGAAAGAAGUGGCGAACGGGUGAGUAACGCGUAAUCAACCUGCCCUUCAGAGGGGGACAACAGUUGGAAAAGACUGCUAAUAACGCAUACGGAAGGAGGGGCGUGCGUCGGAUAAGCUAGUUGGAAGGGUAACGGCCCACCAAGGCGAUGAUGAGUCGCCGGUCUGAGAGGAUGAACGGCCACAUUGGGACUGAGACACGGCCCAGACUCCUACGGGAGGCAGCAGUGGGGAAUCUUCCGCAAUGGACGAAAGUCUGACGGAGCAACGCCGCGUGAGUGAUGACGGCCUUCGGGUUGUAAAGCUCUGUUAAUCGGGACGCGGUACCGGAAUAGAAAGCCACGGCUAACUACGUGCCAGCAGCCGCGGUAAUUC
rnacentral:rRNA from 1 species